GCAGUCGAGCGCAGGAAGCCGUCCGAACCCUUCCGGGGGACCACCGUGGAAUGAACGGCGGAAGGGUGAAUAACACGUAAAGAACCUGCCCAUAAGUCUGGGAUAACCACCAAAAAUCCGGGCUAAUACCGGAUGUGUCAUCCGACCGCAUGGUCCGAUGAUGAAAGGCGCUCCCGCGUCCCCCAUGGAUGGCUUUGCGGUGCAUUAACUAGUUGGUGGGGUAACGGCCCACCAAGGCGACCAUGCAUAACCCAACUGAAAGGGUGAUCGGCCACACUGGGACUGAAACACGGCCCAAACUCCUACCGGAGGCAACAAUAAGGAAUCUUCCACAAUGGACCAAAGUCUGAUGGAACAACCCCCCCUGAACCAUGAAGGCUUUCCGGUCCUAAAGUUCUGUUGUAAGGGAAAAACAAGUGCCCCAAGCAAUGGCGGCACCUUGACGGUACCUUGCCAAAAAGCCACGGCUAACUACCUGCCAA
rnacentral:rRNA from 1 species